GACCUCGGAUCAGGUAGGAAGACCCGCUGAACUUAAGCAUAUCAAUAAGCGGAGGAAAAGAAACCAACAGGGAUUGCCCUAGUAACGGCGAGUGAAGCGGCAACAGCUCAAAUUUGAAAUCUGGCUUCGGCCCGAGUUGUAAUUUGCAGAGGAAGCUUUAGGCGCGGCACCUUCUGAGUCCCCUGGAACGGGGCGCCAUAGAGGGUGAGAGCCCCGUAUAGUUGGAUGCCUAGCCUGUGUAAAGCUCCUUCGACGAGUCGAGUAGUUUGGGAAUGCUGCUCAAAAUGGGAGGUAAAUUUCUUCUAAAGCUAAAUACCGGCCAGAGACCGAUAGCGCACAAGUAGAGUGAUCGAAAGAUGAGAAGCACUUUGAAAAGAGGGUUAAAUAGCACGUGAAAUUGUUGAAAGGGAAGCGCUU
rnacentral:rRNA from 1 species